rnacentral:rRNA from 1 species
GACGUAGGGUGCGAGCGUUGUCCGGAUUUAUUGGGCGUAAAGAGCUCGUAGGCGGCUUGUUGCGUCAGCUGUGAAAACCCGCGGCUUAACCGUGGGCCUGCAGCUGAUACGGGCAAGCUAGAGUUCGGUAGGGGAGACUGGAAUUCCUGGUGUAGCGGUGAAAUGCGCAGAUAUCAGGAGGAACACCGGUGGCGAAGGCGGGUCUCUGGGCCGUAACUGACGCUGAGGAGCGAAAGCAUGGGGAGCGAACAGG